AAGAAGUGGAGAAGGAAACCAGAGCUGCUACACAAAUGUAGGCAAAUCGUCAGCUGCAGGCAGGCGGGCAGCACAGCAGCAGCAGGACAGGAGAAGGAGGGAUCACCAUAUCCUUAUAUAUUAUCCACCAGCCCCAGCGUAGCCCCAGCGUGAGGCCAGGAGGGGAGAAAGGGAGGAUAUAUCUAUGGUUCCGAGCGGUCGAGGUUCACUUUAGCCGGUCAGGACAUAACGAGGGUGGCCAUGAACUCGGCCGAGCAGACGGUGACAUGGCUCAUCACGCUGGGAGUACUGGAAUCGCCCAAAAAGACCGUGUCAGACCCGGAGGGCUUCCUGCAGACCAGCCUGAGGGACGGUGUGGUGCUCUGCAGGCUGCUGGACAGGCUGAAGCCUGGAUUAAACUUCAUGGUCUUCCAGGAGCCGAGGACGGACAGCGAGUGCCUGAGCAACAUCAGGGAGUUCCUGAAGGGCUGCUGCGCUUCUUUCCGAGUGGAGACGUUUGAACCUGAUGACCUGUUCCAGGGCCAGAACUUCACCAAGGUUCUGAAUUGUUUGGUAGCACUCAACAAAGCAACUGCAGAUAUUGGUGACUCUGUAUGUUUGCGGCAGUCCUCCUGUCUGCGGAUCAAGUCUUUUGAUUCCCUCAAUACUCAGGCCUCCCACCGAAGAACAUCAAGAACACUGCACAACCAGUACCGCAGUCUGCAGGACAUGUCGGACAACAGUUCGGCUCAGUUGCUGGUGAAGGCACGGUUUAAUUUCCAGCAGAACAACGAGGACGAAUUAUGCUUCAACAAGGGUGACAUCAUCCAGGUGACGCGGCAGGAAGAUGGCGGCUGGUGGGAAGGGACGUUUAACGGCAGGACCGGCUGGUUCCCUAGCAACUAUGUCAAGGAGGUCAAAGGAAGUGACAAGCCCAUCUCCCCCAAGUCUGGGACGCAGAAGAGUCCGCCCAAAGGCUUUGAGACUAAUGCUGUUACCAAGACCUACUAUAACCUGGUGGUCCAGAACAUUUUGCAGACUGAGACUGAAUACUGUAAAGAGCUGCAGACUCUUCUCUCCACGUACCUCAGACUACUGCAGCCCACAGACCGGCUGACUGUGGCUGACAUCGCUCACAUUCUGGGAAAUCUAGAGGAGAUCAGCUCUUUCCAGCAGACAUUGGUCCAGUCAUUGGAGGAAUGCACCAAACUUCCAGAGAACCAGCAGAGGGUGGGAGGAUUCUUUCUGUCUCUGAUGACGCAGAUGAAGAGCCUUUAUGUGGCCUACUGCUCCAACCAUCCACAUGCUGUCAGUGUACUCACACAACACAGUGAGGAGCUGGGCGAGUUCAUGGAGAGUAAAGGUGCGAGUGUUCCUGGUAUUCUCACCCUCACCACCAACCUGAGUAAGCCCUUCAUGAGACUGGACAAGUACCCCACGCUGCUCCAGGAGCUGGAUAGACAUAUGGAGGAUUGCCACCCAGAUCGCCCAGACAUUCAGAAAAGCCUGCCGACCUUCAAGAACCUCUCUGCUCAGUGUCAGGAAGUGAGGAAGAGGAAGGAGCUGGAGCUACAAAUUUUGACAGAUCCAGUGCGUAACUGGGAGGGAGAAGGCAUCAAGACUCUAGGCUCCGUCAUCUACAUGUCUCAAGUCCUCUUGCAGAACCAUGGAAGUGAGGAGAAGAACGAGCGUUACCUUCUGCUCUUCCCUCAUGUGUUACUUGUGCUCUCCGCCAGCCCCCGAAUGAGCUGCUUUAUCUAUCAGGGGAAGCUUCCUCUAACAGGAAUGAUGGUAACCAAAUGUGAAGACGCAAGGAAUACUUUUGAAAUAUCUGGGACUAUGAUUGACAGGAUCCAGGUCAUAUGUAACAACCAGCAGGAUCUACUGGAGUGGGUGGAGCAUCUUACCCGGCAGACCAAACGCACAUCAUCCUGUACAUCCAGUUUAAAACCACAGUCCGUGCCAUGUCAUACGCUCCCCUCUCACCCAGUCACACCGUCCAGACACUCGGAGAGUCGAGGAACCAGCGGCACACCAGCCUACCACACACUUCCACAUCCCUCCUCACACGGCACCCCACACAGCACUAUGAUGUGGGGUCCUCUGGAGCCCCCCAAAACUCAAAAACCUUGGAGUCUCAGUUGCCUUAGACCAGCACCUCCUCUCAAACCCUCAGCUGCUUUGUCCUAUAAAGAGGAUCUAAGCAAAAGCCCCAAGAGUAUGAAGAAGCUUUUACACAAACGUAAACCUGAGAGGAAGCCCUCAGAGGAAGAAUUUGCUGUGAGAAAAAGUACUGCAGCCCUGGAAGAGGAUGCACAGAUUCUGAAAGUAAUCGAGGCAUACUGCACGAGUGCUAAGACACGACAAACCCUCAACUCAACAUGGCAAGGCACUGAUUUGAUGCAUAAUCAUGUGCUGGCUGACGUUGACCAAUCGUGCGUGGAGGCUGUGGGUUGCCGUACCAGCAUGUUGCGCCUUGAACCCUCAUCCGACCAAUCGGAAGACUCGGACUAUGACAGUAUAUGGACUGCCCAUAGUUACAGAAUGGGUUCCAUCUCUCGUUCAAGAAAGGAGUCAGGUCCUCAUAUGCUUUUCCCUGAAGAGGAGAAGAUCAUUGUGGAAGAGACAAAGAGCAAUGGGCAGACAGUGAUUGAAGAAAGGAGUCUGGUGGACACGGUUUAUGCACUGAGGGAUGAAGUUCAGGAACUCAAACAGGACAACAAGAGGAUGAAGAGAACUCUAGAAGAGGAGCAGAAGGCGAGAAAAGAGCUGGAGAAGAUAGUCAGGAGAGUAUUAAAGAGCAUGAACGACCCGUCUUGGGAUGAGACCAAUUUAUAAAGUGGGUCAGUGAUGUUAAGCCAGCAUGCAUGCGGUCCAUGCUUGGCACUGGAACGAGAGAACACUGAACACUGUACGAUGAAAAAACUGCAUCCUGUAAUGCAGCAUUAAUGCAUCAUGUGUGAUAGAGCUGAAGAAUCAGGCCUGACUUUCGACCAAACAACCCUUUGUUUUGAGCUGAGCCUGCAGUUGAAGAUAAUAAGAGAUGCUUAAAUGACCGAACUGGACCAGAUCUUUCCUUUUCCUGUCACUGGAUUAAAGCCUGCUUUGGACUCUAUUUUAAGACGUUUGCCAGUGCCAAAUUUGCUGGUCUUUGCCAAAUGAAAAAUUAACCUCUGAAUUUUAAGUAUAAAUCGAGGAACAGCUAUUGGAAUAAGUGGCCAAAAAAACUUUAGGUUAUGCCUUAAAUGUAUUUCUUCUGGACACAUUUAACAAGAAAUAUACUAAUAUAUAAUUAUUGGUAAGUAUGAAAAUAAUUCUUCCUGAGAGAAGAUUGUUAUAUACUGUUUUUGGUGUUGCUAGUGUUGCUAAUACUUUUUUCUUUCUGUAUUUCCACUGAAAGUGUCUCCAGCAUGUACCUUAAAAAAACUAAAUCAAGCUGAUGUCACAUGGUUCCCAGUUUGACUCUGAUUUUGACUGGGAGUCUCAGGGAUUACUAAGAAAAUUGGUAGCCACAGCACUGCCUGGGUCCUUCACUAAUGCAAGUCUUUCAGUUUAGAUUGGAUUUUAUUUUGGACUUGGUUCUGUGCUAAACCGAGUCUUUCACUUUAGCCUGGGUUCUGUUCUUAAAAGAGAGUCUUUCAGUUUAGCCCAGGUCUUUUACUAAAGAUAAUCUUUCAGUUUACCCUAAAGGAUUUUUUUAAAACCAAUCUUUAGGGUUAGCCUGGGUACUUUCCUAAGGCAAGUCUUUCAGUUUAGCCUGGGUCCUUCACUAAAGUGAGUCUUUAGUUUAACCCGAGUCAUUUACUAAAGGCAAUCUUUAGGGUUAGCUUGGGUCUUUUACUAAAGCAUGUCUUUCAGUUUAGCCUGGGUCCCUCACUAAAUCAGGUCUUUCAGUUUAGCCUGGGUCCCUCACUAAAACAGGUCUUUCAGUUUAGCCUGGGUCCCUCACUAAAACAGGUCUUUCAGUUUAGCCUGGGUCCCUCACUAAAACAGGUCUUUCAGUUUAGCCUGGGUCCAUCACUAAAACAGGUCUUUCAGUUUAGCCUGGGUCCAUCACUAAAUCAAGUCUUUCAGUUUAGCCUGGGUCCAUCACUAAAUCAAGUAUUUCAGUUUAGCCUGGAUUCUUCACUAAAGCGAGUCUUUAGUUUAGCCUGUGUCCUUUGCUAAAGUGAGUCUUUCAGUUUAACCUGGGUCCCUCAAUGAAUCUGGUCUUUCAGUUUAGCCUGGGUCCUUCGCUAAAGUGAGUCUUUCAGUUUAGCCUGGAUUCUUCACUAAAGCGAGUCUUUAGUUUAGCCUGGGUCUUUUGCUAAAGUGAGUCUUUCGGUUUAGCCUGGGUCCUUCACUAAAUCAAGCCUUAGCCUGGGUUCUGUGCUUAUGUAAUUCUUUAAUUCUAGCCUGGGUUCUUUAAUACAGACAAUCGUUUAGUUGAGACAUUCUUAGAAUCCAUUCCCAACACAGUAAACCAGUCAAAAACUUACUUCCAGCAAGAAAACACAGCAAUACAGUACUGGAAACAAUCAAGGGCUGUUUGUCAGCUUUUGUUUUUAUUUUUUAAUUACCUCGUUUACUUCUUUUCCUGUCUUAAUUCAGUCAGGUUUUACCAUUGAGACACCAGGCAGAUGUUGACUCAUUUUACUGUUUAUACUGUUUUUUUCUUUUAAAUUUGUUCUAAUUCCACUAAUGAAUUUGUACAGAAACUAAUUUCUAGCCUCUAUUCCAAAAGAUCAGCAGGAAUGUGCCUUUUUUUGGAAACAGUUUCCAGAAAUUUCUUGGCAUUUUUCACUGCAUUUGUAAGGAAAUGACAUAUGCAACAGAUCGUUUGAAUAUGCAGUGCUACUAAACUGACAACUCAAGAAUCUUCCAUGUUGUCUGUCUAAUUUAUGUAUUUAAAUGAAAUGAAAAAGCCGUCUAAUGCAAAAAGCCUCUACGCUGGUUUUAUUCCGUCGUCUGCAUGGGUACCAUUUCCUACUCUCUUUUUUAUGUUCAUCUGUUUCUUCUAUUUCUAUUCUGUCUCUGUUCUAUUGCUGUCUUUUCAUGUGUUCAUUCUCUUUCUCUCACACUCUUCUCUAAUCUGUUUGAGUGUGUUGAUGUAUGUAGAUUAAACAAAAUAAAACCUUGCUUAUUCAUUAUUUAUCCUGGAA